rnacentral:rRNA from 1 species
CCUACGGGUGGCAGCAGUGAGGAAUAUUGGUCAAUGGACGCAAGUCUGAACCAGCCAUGCCGCGUGCAGGAAGACGGCUCUAUGAUUUGUAAACUGCUUUUGUACGAGGGUAAACGCAGAUACGCGUAUCUGUCUGAAAGUAUCGUACGAAUAAGGAUCGGCUAACUCCGUGCCAUCAGCCGCGGUACUACAGAGGAUUCAAGCGGUUUCUGGAUAUGUUGGGUUUAAAGGGUGCGUAGGCGGUCGGAUAAGUUAGAGGUGAAAUGCCGAGGCUCAAAUUCGGAAUUGCCUCUGAUACUGUUCGGGUAGGGAGUAGUUGCGGUAGGGGGAAUGUAGAGUGGAGCGGGGGAAUGCU